GCAAAACGCGAAGAACCUUACCCAGGCUUGACAUCCCACUAAGGAUCCCGAAAGGGAACUGUGUCUUCGGACCGUGGUGACAGGUGUUGCAUGGCCGUCGUCAGCUCGUGUCGUGAGAUGUUUGGUUAAGUCCAUCAACGAGCGCAACCCUUAUAGUUAGUUGUAUUUCUCUAGCUAGACUGCCCUGGCAACAGGGAGGAAGGAGGGGAUGAUGUCAGGUCAGUAUUACCCUUACGCCUGGGGCUACAAACACGCUACAAUGGCCGGUACAAAGGGCAGCCAACCCGCGAGGGGGAGCAAAUCCCAUCAAAGCCGGUCUCAGUUCGGAUUGCAGGCUGAAACUCGCCUGCAUGAAGCUGGAAUCGCUAGUAAUGGUAGGUCAGCACACUACCGUGAAUACGUUCCCGGGUCUUGUACACACCG
rnacentral:rRNA from 1 species